UGGGGAAUAUUGCACAAUGGAGGGAACUCUGAUGCAGCGACGCCGCGUGAACGAAGAAGGCUUUCGAGUCGUAAAGUUCUUUUAUAUGGGAAGAUAAUGACGGUACCAUAAGAAAAAGCCCCGGCUAACUACGUGCCAGCAGCCGCGGUAAUACGUAGGGGGCUAGCGUUGUCCGGAAUCACUGGGCGUAAAGGGUUCGCAGGCGGAAAUGCAAGUCAGGUGUAAAAGGCAGUAGCUUAACUACUGUAAGCAUUUGAAACUGCAUAUCUUGAGAAGAGUAGAGGUAAGUGGAAUUUUUAGUGUAGCGGUGAAAUGCGUAGAUAUUUAAAAAGAAUACCGGUGGCGAAGGCGACUUACUGGGCUCAUUCUGACGCUGAGGAACGAAAGCGUGGGUAGCAAACAGG
rnacentral:rRNA from 1 species